rnacentral:rRNA from 1 species
GAUGAACGCUAGCGAUAGGCUUAACACAUGCAAGUCGAGGGGCAGCAUGGUCUUAGCUUGCUAAGACUGAUGGCGACCGGCGCACGGGUGCGUAACGCGUAUGCAACUUGCCUCACAGAGGGGGAUAACCCGUCGAAAGACGGACUAAUACCGCGUACACUUGGGAUAGGGCAUCCUGACCCAAGGAAAUGAAAUUCGCUGUGAGAUAGGCAUGCGUCCCAUUAGCUAGUUGGUGAGGUAACGGCUCACCAAGGCGACGAUGGGUAGGGGAACUGAGAGGUUGAACCCCCCCACUGGUACUGAGACACGGACCAGACUCCUACGGGAGGCAGCAGUGAGGAAUAUUGGUCAAUGGGCGAGAGCCUGAACCAGCCAAGUCGCGUGAAGGAUGACUGUCUUAUGGAUUGUAAACUUCUUUUAUACGGGAAUAACAAGAGCCACGUGUGGCUCCCUGCAUGUACCGUAUGAAUAAGCAUCGGCUAACUCCGU